CACACGUUGGCGCGCGCCACGCGCACAAUACACGCGCCGAUGCUCGUGCACACACGCACACGCACAGAUCAUCGCCCAGUAAGUGCCCUCCCCCCGCCCCCGCCACGCUUCCAUCUGUUUUUUGUUUUGUUGUGUGCAUACGAGCGCAUUAUCAUUGGUGCUGCCGCCGUCUUUUCUCGUGCAGCACCGAGAACCAGAACCACCACCAUUACUACGACCAUGGCUUCCGAAACAACAAUAACAGCAAGGUACACACACAGACGUACGCCAAAUGGGACUCAGGGGCGAUAAGAAGGCGACGUAACGGAUAAACGGAACACCAAAACGUGCCGCGGUGUAUUUGUGCAUAUGCCCCUCAAGCUUCCACGCGUUGUUGGUCUCUUCUUGUUGGAGUGCAUACUGGUGGCGCACCAGUGCGGGAGUAGGGCAGAGUAUGGUCUUUGAAGAUCUCACCCUGACGGCACGCUGAGCAGGGCAGCCUCGUGGAGCUGAGCGCACCACGAUGCUAUCUUCGUUACCGUUGGCGCUGUCUCUUAAAGCGCCCCCCCCCCACUCCCCACACUCACAAAUCGUCUCUUCCUUUCUACCGUCAGACGCGAGCAUUAGAAGAAGCUGAAAAACGGGAUGCUGCUGCGCUCCCACCCACGGCAUGCCUCGCUUUCUCGGUCAGCGCCUCGACGCAAACUUUUGGUGUGCUUCAGCUUCGCCCUUGCCUCGCCCUCUCCCAGAUGCUCUCGUGGCCCUACAUGCUCGUUCUCGACUGAUUCGCCUCCCUGCACACUCUUUGCGAUUAG
rnacentral:misc_RNA from 1 species